rnacentral:lncRNA from 10 species
CCUGCCACCCAGCAGGAGGCCCUUCAAAACUCAGUCAACUACCUUCACCAACCCAGGAAAUGUGUGACAACUAAAUAUAGUCAAAUCAAGGCAGCAGCAGUGAGUUCUAUUUUGGCUGAUUCAUCAUGUGAACCUAUUAUCCUUGGGAUAGAGUCAGGUGGAGGGAGUGACUCAGCAUUUAAGGAGUACAGUAGAGAGGUUGCACAACUUUCAGCUUCUCUGACUGACAUCAGUGCAUCAUCAAAUGGCUUCCUGAUGGAGUUUGUUGUUCAGGCUUGGCUCCUGCCAAGAACACACUGCUCACUUCAGAAGCAACAGAAAGCAAGAAGGAAGUCACAAUAUCUAAGAUUCUACUAGUUUCACAAGCAUUAUUAUCAGAAACUUCCAAGACACAUAUACAAUUUUUUUGCACGUGAUUUUCACUUGUAUUAAGCUCGUAGAUGACCUCUUUUUACUGAAGAUCACUUAUUUCAGCCAUUGUAAUUCUUCAUAGGAUACUGGUCUGAGUGGGAAAAGCUAAAGAGCUAAAGAGAAUCAGAAGGAAAGAAGGAGUCUCAGCCAGAGGCCUCAAUGUCCAUUUCCCAUAUGUGGAAAUACCAGACAACAAGGAAGUUCUGGCAGAUGAAUGGAAGCUAAGCUCUCCUGGAUGGAGAGUGUUAGAAGAGACACUGGAAACUCAGUCCCAAGAUGCUCAGUUUAGUGUUCCUAUUGUUACAACCUGUGACUUCACACAGAAUGAGUGAACAAUGAACAUCUCAGCAAUUGAUAAAAUGAUCCUUCACCAGCCAGGACCUUUUAAAAGAAUUGUCUUAUAACUUCAUCUUAAAGAGCAUCUUCUGACAUUUGUUUGCUGAAACAUACAUUACACUUCUGCUAUCUCAUUCCUUUUCCACAUAUGCUUCCUAAGCCUGGCUUUAUAUUAAAAUAUGAAAGUUACUGGGAAAAAUAAUUCCACUUUCAAGCUGUAGGCCUUUUCCUACAGCUCAAAAUUAUCACAUUUAUUUGAAAGACGUUUCUUUAAAACAUCUGGAAGAUACACCAAAGUGAUAAGCUGGAGAGAAGAAAUCCUUUGCUCCAGGAAUACAUUCUUAAAUAUAAUGCUGAAGAACAUAAUACAAACAGGAAAAUGAAAAUCACCCAUAAUCCCAUCACUGUGAAACUGUAUUUCCUGCAUGAUAUAUAUUUAUUUUUCUAAAUCAAACCACAUUUGGCAUAGGACCCAACCCCCUAGGAAAUCCAACUUAAGUCAUUUUUUUAUUUCCUCUCCUUUAUGAUCUUAAGUUCUAUGGUUCCUUUAAGAACCAUAGAACUUACACAAUCCAAAAAACUUUGGAAGAAGGAUCUUCCAAAUUGUCCUUCAGUCAAGUGUAGUCUCCAUUACAAUGAUCAUGGUCAACUCAAACGCAUGUUCCUGUUGUCCCUUCAGUCAUGUAGACCCAUUGCUGUUGCUCAAGGCCAGUUUAAAUCAUCUUUGAAAGCAUACUUUUUAUAUGUGUAUAAUGUUCCAUCCAAUGGUUAUGUCAUAAUUUCUUUAUUCCUCUAAUUUGACAUUUAGAUUCUUUCAAGAAUUUUUGUUAUUACUUGUAAGCUAUAAAACACUACAGAUACACACAAAUCUUUGGCCACAUCUCUAUUUUAUAAGGAUAAGUUUUUAGCAAUGAGAUUCCUGUAUUAAGUACAGAUAGCUUUAAGGAUCUUUAUUCUAACUUAAAAAUUACUUUUCAAAAAUGUUAAUGUAUUAAUAACUUAGUUUUUACAAAUAUUUGUUGCAGAUUUUCUUGUCUGUUUCAUGUUUAUUGAAAUGAAUAGCUUUAAUUUUUAUGCAGUCAAAUUUAUGCAUAUUUUUCUUUGUAGUUUUUUUCCUCUGUUUUAUGGUUAGAAGUCCCUUCUGUAUCUGGAAAUCUAAUAUUAUUUUAAUUUUUUAACACAUUAAUCAAACAAAAAUGCAUUUGCUACAAAGAAUGAGCUUAGAACCUCUUUCCCCCCCCACCACCCCAAAUAGUUAAUCAAUUCCCAUCACCAUUUCCUUUGCCCAGUAACGUAUACUUUUUUAUAUGGUGGAGCCCAAAUAUCCCUAUGUGAAGAUGAGCAUUUGGGUCAAAUGAGUAAGGAACUUCCCUCUGGGAAAAAUUUAAAGGGGGCACAAAAAAAACCUUCAGUAAUCAACAUAAAUAAUAUUACAAUACAAUAUUUGAAAAAUCAAAACUAAUGCAAAAAUUUCAGAUAAGCAAUACAUUAAAAUUUUAAGAAAAUUCAGAAUCAAGUCCUGUAGCCUUCUGGUGUCAUUCUUUAAAAUCAAAUCUGUACAAAGUAACAUGAGUGCUAGCAGUCUCCCUAAUAUUUCCAGGGAUACCUGUAGGACUUACGUUCCUCAGAGUACUUACAUCUCAUGCCAAACCCUUGCUCAACUGUCAAACACUUGUGACCAUCACAUCACCACUCUGAACAGCUUCAUUCUUAGCAGGGACACAGUCCCUUUGUCUUUAUUUCCCAAGGCACUGCUAACGCAAGGCUGUUAACACUUAAAUUUUUACUGAAAGUUUGGAGGUAAUUGAGGGAGAGUACAACACAGACAGGGAAACACCCCAAGAUUCAUUGUGAAACAUCACUGCAUCUAAGAUUCUUCACUGGUCAACCCCCAGAUCAUGGUCACAGUGAUUCCUCCUUAGAUUGGCCAGAUGCUAGGCUGAUUUCUUCAUACUGAUUUGUCUUCCCCAUCACGUCUUUCCUGAGCUCAACAAUUGUCAGCCUUCCUUCCCCGUCCUUUCUUUUUUCAGUUCAGGUUAUCACAGAAACACCAAAAAUCCUUAUUUCUUUACUGUGUAAAGUAAGCUCCUAGAGUAUUGGCCUUUGUGUCAGAUAGCGCUAGUUUUUUCUUCAUCUCUUUCCCCUGGCCCUUAGCACUUCAGAGCUUGCCGGUCUGACUUCCAACUAACAGCACCUCCAUUUACUUACCUGAGGCUUUAUCUGGCCACCAAAUUUUGUUUUAUCUACAGGAGCAGCAGGUU